rnacentral:lncRNA from 1 species
AGACAUGUAGAUUUCUCUCAAGGAGAAAUGAGACCAGAAUGUUGGAGUGGAAGAUAAUAUCGUAGGUGAAGAGGGAAAUUAAGAAACUAGACGGGGCCGGGCGCGGUGGCUCACGCCUAUAAUCCCAGCACUUUGGGAGGCCGAAGCAGGCGGAUCACCUGAGAUCAGAAGUUCAAGACCAGCCGGACCAACACGGUGAAACCCUGUCUCUACUAAAAAUACAAAAAUUAGCCGGGUGUGGUGGCGGGUACCUGUAAUCCCAGCUACUCCAGAGACUGAGGCACAAGAAUCACUUAAACCCAGGAGACGGAGGUUGCAGUGAGCUGAGAUGGCACCACUGCACUCCAGCCUGGGUGACAGAGACUCCACAUCAGAAAAAAAGAAAAAAAAAA